rnacentral:rRNA from 1 species
UAGGGAAUAUUGCGCAAUGGAGGAAACUCUGACGCAGUGACGCCGCGUGCAGGAAGAAGGUUUUCGGAUUGUAAACUGCUUUAGACAGGGAAGAAAAAAUGACAGUACCUGUAGAAUAAGCUCCGGCUAACUACGUGCCAGCAGCCGCGGUAAUACGUAGGGAGCAAGCGUUAUCCGGAUUUAUUGGGUGUAAAGGGUGCGUAGACGGGAAGACAAGUUAGUUGUGAAAUCCCUCGGCUUAACUGAGGAACUGCAACUAAAACUAUCAUUCUUGAGUGCUGGAGAGGAAAGUGGAAUUCCUAGUGUAGCGGUGAAAUGCGUAGAUAUUAGGAGGAACACCAGUGGCGAAGGCGACUUUCUGGACAGUAACUGACGUUGAGGCACGAAAGUGUGGGGUAGCAAACAGGAUUAGAUACC